GCAGUCGAACGAUGAACCAGGAGCUUGCUCUUGGGGAUUAGUGGCGAACGGGUGAGUAACACGUGAGUAACCUGCCCUGGACUCUGGGAUAACCCCGAGAAAUCGGAGCUAAUACCGGAUAGGACCUGGAACCGCAUGGUUUUGGGUGGAAAGUUUUUUNGGUCUGGGAUGGACUCGCGGCCUAUCAGCUUGUUGGUGAGGUAAUGGCUCACCAAGGCGUCGACGGGUAGCCGGCCUGAGAGGGUGACCGGCCACACUGGGACUGAGACACGGCCCANACUCCUACGGGAGGCAGCAGUGGGGAAUAUUGCACAAUGGGCGAAAGCCUGAUGCAGCAACGCCGCGUGAGGGAUGACGGCCUUCGGGUUGUAAACCUCUUUUANUAGGGAAGAAGGGCUUCGGCUUGACGGUACCUGCAGAAAAAGCACCGGCUAACUACGUGCCANCAGCCGCGGUAAUACGUAGGGUGCGAGCGUUGUCCGGAAUUAUUGGGCGUAAAGAGCUCGUAGGCGGUUUGUCACGUCUGCUGUGAAAUCCCGAGGCUCAACCUCGGGCCUGCAGUGGGUACGGGCAGACUGGAGUGCGGUAGGGGAGAUUGGAAUUCCUGGUGUAGCGGUGGAAUGCGCAGAUAUCAGGAGGAACACCGAUGGCGAAGGCAGAUCUCUGGGCCGUAACUGACGCUGAGGAGCGAAAGCGUGGGGAGCGAACAGGAUUAGAUACCCUGGUAGUCCACGCCGUAAACGUUGGGCGCUAGAUGUGGGGACCAUUCCACGGUUUCCGUGUCGUAGCUAACGCAUUAAGCGCCCCGCCUGGGGAGUACGGCCGCAAGGCUAAAACUCAAAGGAAUUGACGGGGGCCCGCACAAGCGGCGGAGCAUGCGGAUUAAUUNGAUGCAACGCGAAGAACCUUACCAAGGCUUGACAUAUACGAGAACGCCGCAGAAAUGUGGAACUCUUUGGACACUCGUAUACAGGUGGUGCAUGGUUGUCGUCAGCUCGUGUCGUGAGAUGUUGGGUUAAGUCCCGCAACGAGCGCAACCCUCGUCGUAUGUUGCCAGCACGUAAUGGUGGGAACUCAUAUGAGACUGCCGGGGUCAACUCGGAGGAAGGUGGGGAUGACGUCAAAUCAUCAUGCCCCUUAUGUCNUGGGCUUCNCNCAUGCUACAAUGGCCGGUACAAAGGGCUGCGAUGUCGUAAGGCGGAGCGAAUCCCAAAAAGCCGGUNUCAGUUCGGAUUGAGGUNUGCAACUNGACCUCAUGAAGUCGGAGUCGCUAGUAAUC
rnacentral:rRNA from 1 species